UGCGCAGGGAGGAGGAAAAGGCAGUUGUUCUGCAACUAAAGGCACCAUGGAAGAGGAGGGGCAAGCUGGCAGGGGCUGCAACAUUGGCUGGAAGAAACACCCACCGGGCCACUGCUCAAACAGAAAC